rnacentral:rRNA from 1 species
GACGAACGCUGGCGGCGUGCUUAACACAUGCAAGUCGAACGAAGUGGCGAACGGGUGAGUAACGCGUAAUCAACCUGCCCUUCAGAGGGGGACAACAGUUGGAAACGACUGCUAAUACCGCAUACUGAAGGAGGGGCUGGCGUGUGAUUAGCUAGUUGGGGGGGUAACGGCCCACCAAGGGCAUGACCAGUAGCCGGUCUGGGAGGAUGAACGGGCACAAUGGGACUGGGGAACGGCCCAGACUCCUUCGGGGAGCAACAGUGGGGAAUCUUCCGCAAUGGGCGGAAGGCUGGCGGGGCAACGCCGCGUGAGUGAUAACGGCCUUCGGGUUGUAAAACUCUGUUAAUCGGGAAGCGGUACCGGAAUAGAAAGCCACGGCUAACUACGUGCCAGCAGCCGCGGUAAUAC